rnacentral:rRNA from 1 species
AUUGAACGCUGGCGGCAGGCCUAACACAUGCAAGUCGAGCGGAUGAAGGGAGCUUGCUCCUGGAUUCAGCGGCGGACGGGUGAGUAAUGCCUAGGAAUCUGCCUGGUAGUGGGGGAUAACGUCCGGAAACGGGCGCUAAUACCGCAUACGUCCUGAGGGAGAAAGUGGGGGAUCUUCGGACCUCACGCUAUCAGAUGAGCCUAGGUCGGAUUAGCUAGUUGGUGGGUAAAGGCCUACCAAGGCGACGAUCCGUAACUGGUCUGAGAGGAUGAUCAGUCACACUGGAACUGAGACACGGUCCAGACUCCUACGGGAGGCAGCAGUGGGGAAUAUUGGACAAUGGGCGAAAGCCUGAUCCAGCCAUGCCGCGUGUGUGAAGAAGGUCUUCGGAUUGUAAAGCACUUUAAGUUGGGAGGAAGGGCAGUAAGUUAAUACCUUGCUGUUUUGACGUUACCAACAGAAUAAGCACCGGCUAGCUUCGUG